rnacentral:rRNA from 1 species
UCUCCUGGAAACGGGUGGUAAUGCCGGAUGCUCCAGUUGAUCGCAUGGUCUUCUGGGAAAGCUUUCGCGGUAUGGGAUGGGGUCGCGUCCUAUCAGCUUGACGGCGGGGUAACGGCCCACCGUGGCUUCGACGGGUAGCCGGCCUGAGAGGGCGACCGGCCACAUUGGGACUGAGAUACGGCCCAGACUCCUACGGGAGGCAGCAGUGGGGAAUAUUGCACAAUGGGCGCAAGCCUGAUGCAGCGACGCCGCGUGAGGGAUGGAGGCCUUCGGGUUGUAAACCUCUUUUAUCGGGGAGCAAGCGAGAGUGAGUUUACCCGUUGAAUAAGCACCGGCUAACUACGUGCCAGCAGCCGCGGUAAUACGUAGGGUGCAAGCGUUAUCCGGAAUUAUUGGGCGUAAAGGGCUCGUAGGCGGUUCGUCGCGUCCGGUGUGAAAGUCCAUCGCUUAACGGUGGAUCCGCGCCGGGUACGGGCGGGCUUGAGUGCGGUAGGGGAGACUGGAAUUCCCGGUGUAACGGUGGAAUGUGUAGAUAUCGGAAAGAACACCACUC